rnacentral:tRNA from 1 species
UGGCCUGGUUGGCCGGCGGGGCUGCGCCGGUGAUGGCGGCGGGGUCGGGGCAAGAAUCGACCGGCGUUCUCGACGGCGCCAAGCUGG